AGAAAACAAAGCCAACUCAACACAGCGUCAGGGGUUUGAGAAGCCUGGGACUGACUCCAAAUAUUUUAGCCUGCCGGAGCACAACGGCACUUGAUGAUAACGUGAAGGAGAAACUUUCCCGUUUUUGCCAUGUUCCGGUUGAUAGCAUCAUCAGUCUUUAUGAUGCUUCAAACAUUUGGCGAGUUCCUUUGAUUUUAAGAGACCAGAAGGCCCAUGAAGCAAUUCUGAAAGUCCUGAAUCUUAAAGGAGUUGCUCGGGAACCUGUCUUUGGAGAAUGGACAUCUCGGACUGAACUUUGUGACAGACUACAUGAGCCAGUUAGAGUUGCCAUGGUGGGAAAGUACACUGGACUUUCAGAUUCGUAUCUCUCAGUACUGAAGGCUCUUUUGCAUUCCUCUGUAGCUUGCCGCAGGAAACUCUUUGUCGAUUGGGUUCCAGCCAGUGACCUUGAAAAUGAAACUGCCAAAGAGAAUCCUGAAAAUUAUAGAAAUUCGUGGAAUUUGCUGAAGGGGGCGGAUGCUGUACUAGUUCCCGGAGGAUUU
rnacentral:misc_RNA from 1 species